AGCCUUCAUAUCAAUCCCAUAAAAAUGAUACUUUUCCUAAUUUUCGCAAUUUCCUUGCAAUCCCCCCUCAUCUUCUGUCAGGAGACGAAAGAACUCAACUUUUUCAACUGGACGGACCGUACUUCCCCCGAGGACAAUUCUACCUGGCGAUGGGCCCCACACUGCGACCUUUGGGGGAAUGAACUCAUCGCCUUCCGGUGCCCGGCGUCCUUCUGCGGCCGAGAAUGUCAUGCUGCCCCAGCCUGCACACACUUCGCUUGGGAGGAUGGAAAUGGCGGGACUUGUUGGUUAAAAAAAGGCCCCGUCAAUCAAAAACCGCUCUAUAAAAAUCAUAACAGAUAUUUCUGUGGUUUCAUUCCCAAUCGGGACACACAUUCAGUGGAGGAUUAUAAUUGGACAGAUUCCCGAGUUGCCAACACGGGGGUCAAGGUCAGGUGGGCAAGCCACUGCAAUAUGGCGGGAAACGAUUUGGCCGUUCUGAAAACUACCGGGGCAGACAGAGACUCCUGUAUUCGCUCGUGUCUCGAAAAUAACUUUUGUACCCACUUUGUCACCAGUACCAACGAAGGGGGUACUUGUUGGCUGAAGGGGGGAGCUGUCCCCGACCCCACGCUUACGGAAAGGGUUGUCGCCACUAUCUUUUGUGGUUUCCUCCUUCUACAGAGUGGUAACAAGCACGAAUUUGGUCCGAGAUCGAGAACCUUAAACUGGCAGGAGGGCGGGGAUCCGUUAAAUGUUAGGUAUCGAUGGGCCGAAAAUUGCGACUUGUGGGGAAGUGAUAUUAGAAAUUUUCUCACAAAGCGGGAUAAUUGUGGACACGAGUGUUCCCUGCAUAAGGAUUGUACACAUUUUGCAUGGUCCAAUGCUCUCGGGGGGACGUGCUGGAUUAAGAGGGGAACCGUUCCGAAUCACUCGAUCCGAACGGAUUCGGCUUAUAUUUGUGGUUACGUUACUUUCCGUAAAGGGGAGGAAGUUCAGCGGGAUAAGGAGCAAGGUGGAACUAAUAACAUCUGGAUAAUUUGGGUAGUUAUCGGUCUACUCGCAGUAACGGGACUAUUAAGUGGGACAAUUUUUGGUCUUCGACAACGAAAAAUUUCUCAACUCCUCCGAGGUCUUAAUCGCGAAGACAUAGACGAAUUUUUCCUCGGUCGACCAGAACUCCUCGCCAGAAAUACUUCCAUGACGAAUGAAACUGUCGCCUUCUUGCCGUACGACCGAGCAUACGAAGUCGAUAUUGCGGAUAUUGAAUAUAAAGCAGAUCCGAUCGGAACGGGGAACUUUUCCGUUGUGUUCCUUGGCCUGAUAAAAUCUCGUCAACUACCCGUCGCCGUGAAAUGUUCGCUCACCACUACGGACGCCGUGCAAUUCAAGGCUCUGCUUUUGGAAAUCAAAAUUAUGCUUCAUAUUGGAAAGCAUGAAAAUGUCGUGGCUUUAGUCCGCGUCUGCACCGAGUGUAUCCAACAACAGUCGAGCGCAAUUGAAAUUGAAAUCGGAAUCCCCAAACUGCACUUGGGGUAAGGAAUUCAUCGACAUGCUCCAGUCCAAUGGGCGCCUGGAAAAACCCAAAGAUGCAAAUAUCGCAAUAUACGGCAUAAUGCAGGCUUGCUGGGAAGGUAAUAAAUGCAACCGACCUAAUUUCACCACACUCCGGGUCCAGUUGGAAAAACUUUUACAUGUUGGAUAGUCUUAAUCUGCAUAAUUGUCGGAGUGUUUCAUUAACCCGAAUUACCGGAUUUAUCUUAAUAAUUUCCAGAAAAUAAAGGAUUGUGACGCAUAUAAUGGGA